UUUGUUGUAUUUUUGUGUUUUCAGGGAACGUUUACCACUGUUUUAACCCUUCUUUUUCUUUUCUUUUUUACAGAGUCACAGAUAUGGACUUCAAGGAAAAAUGGAGCAAACUUGCACCACUAACCACAGCAAGUAAAAAGACAUUUCUCCUGUACGAAGAGGAGAUGAGAAGCCACCUGUAAUCAGCCUAUGAGACUAAUAGCAGCAUCAAGAACACAGAGAGAAACAGACAAGCAUUUAAAGACAGACUCCUGCCUCUUUUGGGAAAAGUGUGACUCUCUCUUUCCCUUUACUCUCUCUGCUUGACAGUCUAUCCACAGGCUGUCCUUCCAUCUGUCUCAGCAGGAUGCAGUGGCAUCAUUUUGAGUUUUGGGACAAAGAGAAAUGCUAAAUAGAUCCUGGCAUAUUGUUAGACAGAGAGGAGACAAAAAAAAAAAAAAAAACAAGAGGAACAUUUGCAAGCUUCUGGAAGGAAAAGGGAGGAGAGAGAGCUGUAUGAGUCAGAGCACAGCGGCUAGAAUACUGUGUAUUCUGCAUGCAAGAGAGGAGGUAGAGGGAGAUAGAGGAGCGAUGAGAGAGAUAUAGGGGGAAAAUAGAGGAGGACUUGACCAGAAUUGAGCAGUCAUUAGACAGAAGAAGGACAGGAUGAGGACAGAAGCAGCCACACUGGCAGGCGGUGAGUAAGUGAGAUAUAGGCCGAGUGAAUCAGCUUGCUGGAGGGAGAGGGAGGCGAGAAGAGGGCGAGUUUAAAAAGUGGAGGGUUUGGUAUGACUGAAGCCGGUUGAGUGAAGGUUGAAUGAAGGUUUGCUGCAGGGUGGAAAGUGGACACAGCUGCAAAGGACAGAAGGACAGGCUUAAUACUUGAGCAGCUACGGGGGAGAAAGUCCUGAGUGACUGUGUCUUGCUAUAGGGACUUAGCAUGACUGAGGUUUGCAUAUGGGAGGGACAGGCUUCAAGAAGGUUAACCAACAGGAAGGAGGAAAAUGGUAGAGAGUAGAAAGGUUAAAGAGGAACAGGAAACACCAAGGAACAGGACAUAGGGAUAAGGAACAAAUCAGGCUAGGUAAGAGCAAAACUUAACAUCCAAGCAAGGCCAGUAAGAGAGCCUGAGCAGAAAACACCACAGACCAGAGAACUUGUCGUCCAACGCACAAUGACAGGGACAUGGAAACUUUAACUGUGACAGCAACACAGCAAGAGGUUCCUGUUAAAUAUUGAUGCUGACAGGCCACUCUGGAAAGAGCUCACUCCUUGCACCACAGAAGGGGAAGCAGAAGGAAGAAACACAGUUGUUUUUUUUUUAUUCUAAAGGAUUUUUUUUACACUGCUGUUUAAGUGUGUCAGAGGACAGCCUAGUGUGGUGAAGUUGAGAUGUUGCUGCAAAUUAAGACAAGACCUACAAAUUAGACAAGACUCGGUUUCCUGGAGGGCUUCUUUUUUUCUUUCUUUUUUUUCCUUUUUUUUGGCCAGCUGUGCAAUUUCUGCGGGAGAGUGGAAUGGCUACAGAGAGAACAGGAUCUUUAUCAUGUGUGGAAAGAGCAAGCAAGAAGGGAAUUAAUAUUUGAGGGAUCAAAUCAGGACUGGAACAAUUUUUCCUUUUCUACAAGAACAAGAACCAGCCCUGGCUGAUGAAUACAGAUUUAUAUUUUGGGGUUGACUGCCACUCUGAGGUACACCACUGCCAGACGCGAUGAGCUAAACACUGCUGAAGCAUUCAUAAAUGUAUCCUCUCAUUAUUCUGUCCUGCACUGAUUGGAACUGCUCUAACUCUCUGAAAAUGCCCUCAUUACAAAGAUUUAGCCAAUGGGGGUUUGCUGUCAUGGCUUGAGGAAAUAUAAGUGUGGAAACGCUUUGAUGUGCAUCACCACAAAGGGAUCCUUUAAUUGGAGGCAGGAUGUAUACUUUGUUUUUGUCUCCAUGACUGAAUAAAGUCACGAUGGCUCUAAAUGUUAUCAAGGCAUUAAGCUAGAGGCUGCCUCCUCACUGAUUCCUCAAAACAUCACGACAAUAACGUGGGAGGACACAACGCCACAGUCUCCAUCCAGCUGCGGAGAGACCAGCUGCGUGUCUAUGUGUGUGCGUGUGGCUGCAUGGGGGUGUAAGGACCGUCAAGGAACUCAGCUGUGUUUGUGCACUAUGCUUGUGUGGGUGUGGGUGUAGAGGUGUGUCAGUGUGCGUGCGUGUGUGUGUGUGUGCGCGCGCACCGAGCUUGGAUCCCAGCUGUGUCUGAGUGUAUUUUCAAAGCGUCGCCUGGAGCUGUGUGUAUGCGCGUGUGAGUGUGUGUUUGCGUUUGUGCACGUGUGUGUUGCCUGGAUUCUCCCCACCAGCGACAGAGCUGGACCUGAACAGCAGUGGUGAGAGGGGGGACAGGGAGGGGGAGGAGGAGGAGAGGAGGGAGCUGAAAGAAACCAGCAGGACGGACGAGAAGAAAAAACUGACAACAUGCUCAGAUAAAGAGAAGAAAGAAAGGAGUCUCUGGCUGCCCCCCUGGUGCAAUGUGUGGCGUCGCGCCCUGUGGGGGUGGGGUUCUGUGAUGGUAACCAUGGUCCCCGGCAGCCGCUAUGUCUGCAGCGCUCACGCAAGAGAGGAAGACUCCACGAACGACCGCGAGGAGCGAAUUCUAGCCGUGCUGGGCAUCAUCGGAACUGUCCUCAAUCUUUUAGUGGUCAUAUUUGUCUACAUCUACACCUCCGUCACCUAAGGUUUCCUUGGACAAGAGAUGCUGGCAUUGUCCCCAACUCUGCUCCACACUUCCCACCCUCCUCUUCAAGUAUUUAUAUACUUGGAGGGUUUGAUUAUGCAGAGUAACUGCUGAGAUGUGAGGAUCAUUGGCAGCGUGUUCAGCUGGAUAGUAGCCAUAUUUAUCUACACCUGCAUUACUGCUUAUCCCUUAAGACAGCUCUGCUCCGUUACCUAAAGACUAGUGCUCAUCACAGAACAGGAGCUACAAGUGGAAUUAUCUGUAUCACUUUUAAACUGUACCUUCACAUUUCAAAACAAUUUCACAUAUCCAUAUGUCAAAUGACUGCUGACAGCGUGUCCAGUCUAGUAACGGUUAUAUGUGUCUAUAAUCGUACUGAUCCAUGACCUUGGCAUAGUAUCUCUGUGACUGCUGGUGAAGCUCUGAUGUGUCUUUGAUUUGAUGGUGGUCACGUCUGACUGUGUUGCAUUUGCCUUUUUGUCUCAUAACUCUGUGAAAGUCUAUGGUUUCUGUUGUUUUUUUUUAAUCUUGCUCCUCUAUGGUUUUAAGAUACAGUCACUGCCAGUUAAAUGUAUCAAAAUAGUCUGACAAACUCAGCACUAUGCGUUAACUUGACCAACUGAGUAGAUAGGGAAGGGUGGUACACUGCUAAGACUAGAUAAGGACCAAAACUGCCAAGUGAAUUAUCAACAGAGGGACCCUUGGGCCCAUCGGCUCCUGGGCACCGUAAAAUCUACUUGAAGAGCAUCAGUACAGAUGUACAGAUGAUCGCUCAUUACUAAAUAUUAGUCUCUGUAGUUAGUAGAAUCAAAAAGUUUUACAUGGACCUAACAAGUCCACACCUGAGCACACCAGAGGAGAGGUUCCUGGCUGUGUUAGGAGUCAUCGGCAUCGUGCUCAACCUCCUGCUGCUUGUGUUUGUCUACAUAUACACCUCCAUCUGAUGUCUGUGCCUGAACACCGUGUCAAUUAUGAGAUAACUUGCCACAUAACUUGCCACAGUGACUGCAGCUUUACGGAACAGCCAGGGGCUUCCAGUAAUCACAUUGUGCUGUAGAGGAUGUUCUCCACAUAUGUAUAUAUUGUACCUAAGCACACCCUGGUUCAUAGCUUAUUUGGGGAUUAUAUGUUAUUCUAGGUGGCGUUCUGUGCCUAAUAAUAUAAUGAUAUUCUAAUAAUAGUGGGAACUUGAUGAACAGAUGGUGGUAAGAGGCAAAAGCAGUGGGCUUAUGUAAAGGAGAUUUUGUUUACAGACUGGUUCAUGAUAGAAAUACACAAAAGUCACCUUUUUUGUGGAAAAUUGUGUCCUACGGUGUUUUUGUAGAUACAGUACUCGCUCACAUAUGUGCAUCAUGUUUACCUAAGCUUAUAUUGCUAUAAUCAAAUACUCUCUAUCCUGCUUUGACCAAAAUAACUGAUGUAAAGACUGCCAUCUUUGUAGUGAUCCUGUUUGUUCUACAUGCUCACUGAUGUUGAAAACACUCAGACAUGGAGCUGGAUGGUUUUGAUGUUUCAGUCUGUGUAGCAGCUCUGUACAUGAGCAAAGAUUCCUCUGAGGACAGCAGGUACCACAGAAUUACGCUCUAUUUCCUGGUGUCAUGUUUCACUGAUUGGAUCUGUACGCAAGGCACGGAGGGGCACAGGAGAGGGCAAAGUGGGGAGCGGAGACAAUGUCAUACGAAUCAAGGCGGUGCACUUUCACAGUGCAACACAAAGGAAUGCAACAGCAGCAGAGAAAUCAGGGAGAACCAGUGCAGAUUGCCUGAAAAAAGAGGACAUAAAACCUCUGUACAAGGCCUCACCAUCUGUCUUGAAACUCGCAAAGGCACAAAAAUCUCCCUGGGAUUGGGUUACAACACUUCCGCUGGAGCUGCAUGUCACUAUGGAUAUGAUUUUAGGUUUAAGCACUGCGCCUCUAAUGGAGGAGCAAACCUAAAUGCGGCUGACAAGCGAGCAGGAAGGACUGGCCUGAAUCUACACUUCAUUCUCGUCAUUCUCUUCUCCACCAACAAGCUAACGCCAGAAAAGACAUAGUACUGAGAGGAGCCACGUGAGCCUCUGCCGUCAUUUCACACAGCACAAUACUUUUAUAUGUAAAUGCACCCAUACCUGUGAAAAGGACUUCAUUUCAAACACCAUCAGUCAGAGGUUGUGGGAAAGGCAUGAGCAAAAGGACAAUGGAAACAGCGUGUUUUCCGAAAUGAAUAACAAGCAUCUCUGACUGUUCACUUAACCUACUGCAAUUUUACAUGUUGGCUUGUGUGAAUAAGUACUGAGAUUUUGAUAACCAUUGCAUAAUAUGAUUCCUUGUUACAUUGUGUAUAUAUGCUCUUAGUUUUAGUAUCAGUUUAUCAUUGAGUGUUUUGUUUGAAGCUUGCAAGAAAACCUUGAAGUCACAACCACCACACUGGAACAUGUUUGGAAUGAGCCUCAGAAAAUGUCUAUGGGUCUGGUUGCCAAAGUGUAUUUUGUAGUUAGGUGUAGAAGAUAAAUAUUCCCAUGGCCAUAUCUACAGAAUGCUGGACGAACAAGUGACCACAGUUUCCCUACUGAAAUAACUAGCUUUUAUUGAGAAUUAUUAGUUGCUUUGUUGAGUCCCACAGCAGCAAAGAAUGAAUGAAAAGGGUGCGUAUUUCAAUUACUUGUAAUGCAUAAUUAACUUGCCUUAGGGACACUCUCUCACUGUAUCACUUGCACAUACCCAUUCACACACUUUUGUCUUUUGUAACCCUAACCCUAACCCACCACAUGGCUAAUUCAAUACAACCUGGGUUUUCAGUUGCUGAGAUCCAAGAACACAGUCAUAUCGCUAAAGAGAAGUCAGACUAACCUAGAAGUCAGACUAAAACUAAUAUAGAAGCGGUAAGACCAACCCGGUGGUUAUAUUAAGGGGUUGACUGUGCAGCUUAUUUGGAAGAGAAAACAUCAGUGAACAUUAAAAUUAUUACCCAAAAUGUCUAUUUAUGGACGGACUUCCUGCUUCAAUUCUACAGGUUUUGCUGUAGUUUUGUGGUUUUCCUGUAUAAUGAGGGAUUAUUAGCAAUACUACAGUGAGCUCACUUUAAGUUUAACCUCCAAAAUAAACUGGGUGCCAGCUACUCUGGCUAAAUUGGAGGCUUGUUUACAACCUGUAAAAUUAUCUGACAGGUGCUGUGUUUUGCCCUGUUGGACCUACUUGCGGCAAUGUGGCUGUGUUCUGAGAUGCCAGCAAUUACAGUGUUAUCAGAACUGCUGCAACCAGUGGCCCAUGAGUUUAAUUUUGCACCAUCUUUCAGCACACAUCAGGAGAGUCAACAGCAUGUUGAGAUCAAUGUGACUUGCACAUUCACUUCCUGUCACAUCUAAUACCUGUACAGCAGAGUUUGUUGAACUAAAUCCAUUUUAAGUGUGCGCCAAAGCACAGUAUGAGCCACCUUUGGUUUGCCAGACAUCUGCUGUCAGACUGUGACGGUCAAAGCCACAGCUGUGCAGAAACACAUCUGAAUAUAUUCUGAAAUACCUAAAAGUACUGGGAGAUAUUUUUGGUCCACUUUGUGCUGCCUCUAAAGGGUCAAUCGAUGUAAGCAAACAAACAAAACAAGUAUGCUCAACUUUUUAGCUCAGGUUUACUUAAACAAAGGUUUUACAGUUCUAGUUUCUAAAAAUGCACCCUUUUAAAGGGUUAAUGAGUUGUAACUAACAGCUUAAUUAAUAGUUAAUAAAUUAAUUAAUAAUUCUUUAUAGAUCAGAGGCUAUUAAUAACAACACUUUAGGUUGGACUUUUCGCUGGUGUUUACCCCUUUGAAAUAAGGCACAGGAUUUAUGAGGAUGGAAUGAUUUUAAUAGUUAAUAAAUCCUUUACUAGUACUAUAUGGCUCAUUAGAAAAUAAGUCAUACAGCCAUUAAUAAAAUGGCAAUAUUAUCAAUUGAAUAUUGAUUUAUAAAGAAUUAGCAAAUUGUUUAUUGACCAUUACUAAAGCAAUUGGUUAUUACUUAUAAACUCUUUUAAGGGGUGCUUUACUUGAAAAUGAGAGCAGUUUGUGUGUUUUCAAAGGCCAGUGGUGAAACUAAUAUUUUUAGACUGAAACAAGUGAAAGAGGUGUAUUUUGUGCCAAUACUAAAUCUUUUUAAUGUUUUUAAAUGUUCUUGCCAAAAUAUUAAAGUGUUAAUACAUAUUAAAAACUCUACGAGGCAGAGUGACCCAUCUUAUACAACCAAUGCUCAGAUUGUAUAGUCAGCCUAAAUGAAGAAUAUGUUUAAAAAAUAAAAUCAACGAAGAAAAAAAAAUGCAGAUUUAUAAACUUCAUUAUGGUUUUCUGUAGCCUUGGUCAGGGAGGAACCAUCAUCAUAUCAGCAAUCAACAGACUAACUGAUAUUAGACAAAAGUUCAUUAAGUUAUUUUAUUGUGUACUCUGGAUGCAGUUCAAGGUUUUGGUUGAGACCAGUUAACAUGACAGGCCCACUGCCAAGCAGACCGACGAGAGGAGAGAGCCUACAGGGUGAGCCCUGGCCAUCUGCUGUCUCCCAACAGACAUUCAGCUCUCAUCUCCUCAAUGUACACACACACACCGCACACACAGAACACGGAAUUUACUUAGUUUUUUCUUUCAUUUUAUGCCUGUUCAUGUGUCUUUUCAAAAUCAUUUUACAGGGUAAAUGAGCUUAUAUGUGCGUGCAAUGAAAUAGUCUUUAAUGCCAGAGACUAAACAGGUGCAUCAGAGCACACCUGGGACUCCUAAGCACUGCCCCAGGCAUGGCUUAUGGAAAAUGUUCAUUCUGAAACUGGAUUGAUAAAUGAGUCUGAGCUAGCUGGCGACUCUGAGACAGAUUCUCAUGUUUUUUCAUGAUUCACGAGCCGAAUUGAUUUUUAGCCUGAGAGGGCACAUUGGACACAGACUGUCUGAGACUAGACAAGAGAAAAUAAUGUGGAGAAGAAGAUCCCUGAGAUAUUUUGAUGUUACUUCUGAGCAGCAAAGUUGUAGAAUAUUGAGUUAGAUUUAUCUUAGAAAGACUAGAAAGAAUAAAAACAAUUUGGGUAUGACAGAUUCCAGAGCUACAGUAUUUUCUGCAUUAGAUGCACCACAACUUCACCCAGAGGAAAGGCUAAGAAAGAGUCCUGGCAUACAGGACAAAUUUUGCGUUAUACAUAGGAAUUUUUCAUUUACCAGUUAGCCAGCAGACAGAACCAGUGAUUCAAGCAACUGCUAGAUGUCAGAAAGCCUCAGAUGUUAUGCGACAUGCUGAUUAUUUACUGACUAACAUUCCAGGACAGUAGCUGCUACAGCACUAAUCAAGCAAACUGAAGAUGUGAAAUGGGAAAAGUCCAGAGGGACUACCCCACUAAUAGAGUUUGCUUAUAUCAACAAGUGAUAAAGCUUCAUUGUCAAAGGAGAGAAACUACAUCCUCUAGAAUUGUGUAGGAGCAUUAAAUCAAUUUCUGAUGAAGCUGAUAACGAAACAGUAGUUUGUUAUAAUCCCUGAGAGUAACCACUGAACAAAUGCUGUGAGAUCUGGUGUACUUUCAUGUAAUGUUUAUAUAUAAUGUAUAGUUAUAGUAAUGCCAAUAAAACACUUUCAAAGA